rnacentral:rRNA from 1 species
GACGAACGCUGGCGGCGUGCUUAACACAUGCGAGUCGAACGGAAAGGCCCUGCUUGCAGGGUACUCGAGUGGCGAACGGGUGAGUAACACGUGGGUGAUCUGCCCUGCACUUCGGGAUAAGCUUGGGAAACUGGGUCUAAUACCGGAUAGGAGCCAUCUUUAGUGUGGUGGUUGGAAAGUUUUUUCGGUGUAGGAUGAGCUCGCGGCCUAUCAGCUUGUUGGUGGGGUAAUGGCCUACCAAGGCGGCGACGGGUAGCCGGCCUGAGAGGGUGUACGGCCACAUUGGGACUGAGAUACGGCCCAGACUCCUACGGGAGGCAGCAGUGGGGAAUAUUGCACAAUGGGCGCAAGCCUGAUGCAGCGACGCCGCGUGGGGGAUGAAGGCCUUCGGGUUGUAAACUCCUUUCGCUAGGGACGAAGCUUUGUUGUGACGGUACCUAGAUAAGAAGCACCGGCUAACUACGUG